UGGGUCACAUUUGGCUGUGGAGGGGAAGGCAAAUCCCUGAGGCUGGGGUGGGAGAGAAACUUUCAUCCAAGGAAUCUAAGAUAUGUGCCUACUAUUAUUUGAAGGGUUUUGGGAGCUGUGUUCGCCUAUUAAUCACCUAUUUUCUGUUCGCUAUUGAAUUUUUAGGAGUCUGCUUCUUGGAUUAUCCCACAGUUCUGAAGGUGGUAACUGUACUUGUGGGUUGUUGGUUCCCUGGUUCUUCAUGGGAAAUGAGCAAAGUGGUUCAGUAAGUCCACAAGAGGCAGAAAUUAAAGUAGCUGAAGUAAUGGACACCUUUCUUGAAGAUAAAUUUUGCUGCUGGAGCAUUAGGAUCAAAUGAGAAGCCUCUGAACAAUGGAUUAAUGACACAAAAUUGAGCAUUCAAAGGUUUCCUGUAUUUUAUAACUUCAUUUUCACCUGAGGGACUUGAAGGAUGCAUUGCAGCCUGGGAGCAUCUGGACACACCAGCUGAGCAGAGUCUGCCCCCUGAGUGGGGGCUGCAGAGUGCUCUCAGACCUCCUGCAGAACUUCCUAUGCAGAACUUCUGUGCCAAGAUGCACAGAAAAUGCAGACACACAGACACCACUACUGCUUCCUUUCCCCAGGUAACCGCUAUGACUCCAGUGUCUGAUGGCUGCUGUGAAAACUUGCAGAAGAAAAGGGAGACUCUGAGACUGCCAUUUGAACUGCAAUGUUCUUUUAGCGCAGUGUGUUAUCAGGAGGUAUCCCAUCUUAUAGACCUGCUGAGGCCCCAAAGGGCAGCUAAAGGUGGAGGCUGACCUGGGGCUGUCUCUGCACCUCUCACAUCAGACAGUGUUGUCUGGCUUCUGCCUUUUGACUCACUGUGGUGCAGCUCGUAGCUGCGUGCAACUGGUUCCUCUUUGUACCAUCCCUUCCUCCCCUCCUUUGCCUAGAGGAAGGAACAGGCUUCGAAAGGUCUUUGCUACACUUUGAAAUGUGAUUCCACUGCAAAGCAGAAUCGUAUUUUCCUGUUAAUCAUCGCAUGUGACGUUUACAAAGGUUUCUGGCGAUGACUGACACGUUGCUCACAUCGUUUCUUUAUGAGCUGCGCCUUUUCUUUCUUUGCUUUGUGUUAAAUAUAUUUUCGCUAUGUUGGACUUAGCUUUUAUUAAUCCACUUUAAAUUGUCAUUUUGCAUAGCUCAGGGCUCGCAGCUUGUGUUUGAUACGUAGUAUAAUGCAACCAGAGGCUGUGUUUUGUUCCUCAUGUCUGAGUGCCGUAUUUCCCUAGCUCUAACUGUAUCAAUCCUCCUCUGGGGGAACGUAACACCAGAUGGUUUCUUUUCACUGAGCUGUCACAGGAGGGCAAGGAGCUCUGUCUGUCUGCGAGACAAAUCAGCUGCAUGCUAUAAUCUCGGGAGCAUCAACAGAAAGAAAUUUGUGAGCAGCGCAAAGAAAACAGGAAAAAAUCUGGGACAAAUGGUCCUGAGCUGGGCCGCUUCUAAAUUCUCUGUUCUCGUGAGGACAACCAGGAGGGGGCAGGUGUUCCAGUGCCAUUCCCUGGUGCACGGGAGCUGGGACCAGCAUCCUGACUGGGCCAAACCUCUGUGCUAACAUCUCAUUUCUCCUCCCCAG
ensembl:lncRNA